GAAUGUUACAGUGCUGAUGCUGUGCUGAGCAGUAACCAAAACACCGGACAAGUCCCAAGGAAACAGCGCUUCAGGACUCUAUCCCUGGAUCUGUUUUAUCUGAGUGAGAAACUUCCAGCCUUUCUAUAGGAAAGGAGAACAUUGCAGAGAAACAUCUCUCUGCAAAUGCCUAUUACAAACCCCCACAGUUUCAACACAGCCUGCGUUGAACCAGCCUGCCAAGAACCCCACAAGACAGUUUUGCUUUGUCAUGUGGAUAAGGUUCAAA